UACGGGGGGGGCAAGCGUUGUUCGGAAUUACUGGGCGUAAAGGGCUCGUAGGCGGCCAACUAAGUCAGACGUGAAAUCCCUCGGCUCAACCGGGGAACUGCGUCUGAUACUGGAUGUCUUGAAUUCGGGAGAGGGAUGCGGAAUUCCAGGUGUAGCGGUGAAAUGCGUAGAUAUCUGGAGGAACACCGGUGGCGAAGGCGGCAUCCUGGACCGAGAUUGACGCUGAUGCGCGAAAGCCAGGGGAGCAAACGGG
rnacentral:rRNA from 1 species